UACGUAGGGCGCAAGCGUUGUCCGGAAUUAUUGGGCGUAAAGAGCUCGUAGGCGGUCUGUCGCGUCGGAUGUGGAAAGCCCGGGGCUUAAACCCCGGGGUCUGCAUUCGAUACGGGGCAGACUAGAGUGUGGUAGGGGAGAUCGGAAUUCCUGGUGUAGCGGUGAAAUGCGCAGAUAUCAGGAGGAACACCGGUGGCGAAGGCGGAUCUCUGGGACGGUACUGACGCUGAGACGCGAAACGUGGGGAGCGA
rnacentral:rRNA from 1 species